rnacentral:rRNA from 1 species
GAUGAACGCUAGCGGCAGGCUUAACACAUGCAAGUCGAGGGGUAACGAUGUCUUCGGACAGGCGACGACCGGCGCACGGGUGCGUAACGCGUAUGCAACCUACCUUUAACUGGAGGAUAGCCCCGAGAAAUCGGGAUUAAUACUCCAUAGUAUUUAAUAGUGGCAUCACUAUUAACUUAAAGCUCCGGCGGUUAAAGAUGGGCAUGCGUGACAUUAGUUUGUUGGUGAGGUAACGGCUCACCAAGACUACGAUGUCUAGGGGUUCUGAGAGGAUGAUCCCCCACACUGGUACUGAGACACGGACCAGACUCCUACGGGAGGCAGCAGUGAGGAAUAUUGGUCAAUGGACGCAAGUCUGAACCAGCCAUGCCGCGUGCAGGAUGACGGCCCUAUGGGUUGUAAACUGCUUUUAUUAAGGAAUAAACCCUCUUACGUGUAGGAGGCUGAACGUACUUAAAGAAUAAGCAUCGGCUAACUCCG